AGAGGAGCAACUAACAGCCUGCUUCUCCAGCUCUGCCAGGGGUUUACCAGCCAGGCUUUAUCACUCUUGCAGCUGGACCCAAAUCAAAGAAUUCAGAUCCAGAGAAGACUUUCAUCCCUAUUCUUCCAAAGAUCAAGAGUUCUGGGGUCCAGGAUUUUGGUUUGCAUCCAUUUCUAACCAAUAAUAUAGUGAGAACAAAAGGGGACUGGAGACCAUCAGCGGAACACAUGAUCUUCCCAUAGCAUAGGUGAACUUGUGAACCCCUCACUCCCUUUAGUGAGCCAUUACUAACACAAGUGAAACAAUUGACUGUGGUGGUACAAUUUGAGUAGAUGUUUCAGCAAGGUAAAGGCUUUACAAUCUGGCCCUUUGUCUGUGAGCUCUCAUGCAUAUUUACAGUGUGAUUCAAGAGGCAGGUCCUGUCUACACUGGCAAGUUUCUGUGCAGUAAAGCAGCUUUCUGUGCUGUAACUCCAGAGGUGUGCACACUGCCAAGCCACUUAGUGUGCAGAAACAGCGUAGUUGUAGCGCUGUAAAAAAAACACCCCAAUGAGAGGCAUACAGCUUUCUGCGCCAGGGCUACAGUGCUGCAGUGCCAGUGUAGACCGCCUGGUAGAUUACAGUGCUGUGAUUGGCCUCCAGGAGGUGAUCCACAAUGCCUGUCCUCGCCUCUCUGGUCAUGGGUUUGAACUCUACUGCCCUGCCCUCAGGUGACCAACCGUCAUCCCGAAAUUCUUUUGGAAUGUUGAAAGUCCCCUUCCUGUUUGUUCAGUGACGUGUGCAAUGGUCUCAGCGCAUCUUUCCAGAUGGCCAUGCCUGCUCUGUGCACGAGGCGAUCCCUCGCUUGGAGUAAUUCUGAGCUGCUGGACCUCAUUGGCAUUUGGGGAGAGGAGGCUGUCCAGUCCCAGCUGUGCUCCAGUCCCAGCUGUGCUCCAGCUGUAGGAAUUAUGAUACCUACGGACAGAUUUCAUGAUGCAUGACAGAAAGGGGCCAUGACUGAGACACACUGCAGUGCAGGGUCAAAGUGAAGGAGCUGUGGAACACCUACCACAAGGUGUGGAAGGCAAACCAUUGCUCCAGUUCUAUGCCCAUGAGCUGCCGAUUCUACAAAGAGAUGGACGUGAUAAUCGGCAGCAACCCCACCUCCACUGCAAAGACCACUGUGGAUACUUCAGUGGCUUGUGUGCCAGUCUAAAGUGGACCGAGCCAGGAGGAGGAAAUCUUGGACAAGGAUGUGGAGAGGGACCCAGAGGCAGAGGAUGAUUCAGAGGUCAGAGAUGCAUGCAGCCAGGAGCUCUUUUCUAUCCUGGAGGAGGUUAGUCAGUCACAGCUAUCAGAUGUUGGUGAAGCGCAAACAGAAGAGGAGGCCCCUGAGGUGACCUUGGAAGCCCAGCCUCCCUCUUGGUUAUUGGCAGCUGAAUGGCGGCACAGAAUUAGAAAGUGGCCAAGAAGAACUAAGGAGGACUUUCUGCAUGAUGUUAUCAUGCACUCCGCCACCGAGAAACAGGAAUUGAAGGAGUGGCAGGACAGCAAGAAGAGGGACCGAAAGGAGAACACGGCAUGCCAGAAUGAAUCCACAGAGCGUCUCUUAAAGGUUAUGCAGUGUCAAGGAGACAUGCUCCAGGUGAUACUAGCUCUUCAAACUGAGCAGCUCUGUGCCUGCCCUCCCCUGCAGCUGCUCUCGCAAAAAUCUUUCCCAUGCUCCCCUCACACACUACCAGCACAAUCUUAUCAACCUCCUGGCUCCAGUCUAUACUCACGGCAUUCCACUCCUCCCUGCUCACAGACCAGCAGUGUGAACUCCCACUACCCACUUCACUCAACACCCAUCCCUCUGCAGUUUGGCCCUGCUGGAGCACAGUACCCGCUGCACUGUACUCCAAAGGAGGAGGUUGGAUAUGAUCCCUGGACAUACACAAAUCUUUAGCUGUCCU